rnacentral:rRNA from 1 species
UGGUGGAGUGAUUUGUCUGGUUAAUUCCGAUAACGAACGAGACCUUAACCUGCUAAAUAGCCAGGCCGGCUUCGGCUGGUCGUGGGCUUCUUAGAGGGACUGUCGGCGUCUAGUCGACGGAAGUUUGAGGCAAUAACA